AGCGUCUGGAAAGGCGCGCGAUACAGGGUGACAGCCCCGUACACAAAAAUGCACAUACUGUGAGCUCGAUGAGUAGGGCGGGACACGUGGUAUCCUGUCUGAAUAUGGGGGGACCAUCCUCCAAGGCUAAAUACUCCUGACUGACCGAUAGUGAACCAGUACCGUGAGGGAAAGGCGAAAAGAACCCCGGCGAGGGGAGUGAAAAAGAACCUGAAACCGUGUACGUACAAGCAGUGGGAGCCUCUUUAUGGGGUGACUGCGUACCUUUUGUAUAAUGGGUCAGCGACUUAUAUUCUGUAGCAAGGUUAACCGAAUAGGGGAGCCGAAGGGAAACCGAGUCUUAACUGGGCGUUAAGUUGCAGGGUAUAGACCCGAAACCCGGUGAUCUAGCCAUGGGCAGGUUGAAGGUUGGGUAACACUAACUGGAGGACCGAACCGACUAAUGUUGAAAAAUUAGCGGAUGACUUGUGGCUGGGGGUGAAAGGCCAAUCAAACCGGGAGAUAGCUGGUUCUCCCCGAAAGCUAUUUAGGUAGCGCCUCGUGAAUUCAUCUCCGGGGGUAGAGCACUGUUUCGGCAAGGGGGUCAUCCCGACUUACCAACCCGAUGCAAACUGCGAAUACCGGAGAAUGUUAUCACGGGAGACACACGGCGGGUGCUAACGUCCGUCGUGAAGAGGGAAACAACCCAGACCGCCAGCUAAGGUCCCAAAGUCAUGGUUAAGUGGGAAACGAUGUGGGAAGGCCCAGACAGCCAGGAUGUUGGCUUAGAAGCAGCCAUCAUUUAAAGAAAGCGUAAUAGCUCACUGGUCGAGUCGGCCUGCGCGGAAGAUGUAACGGGGCUAAACCAUGCACCGAAGCUGCGGCAGCGACACUAUGUGUUGUUGGGUAGGGGAGCGU
rnacentral:rRNA from 1 species